rnacentral:rRNA from 1 species
GAUCCUGGCUUAGGAUGAACGCUAGCUACAGGCUUAACACAUGCAAGUCGAGGGGCAGCGAGAAGAAAGCUUGCUUCUUGUCGGCGACCGGCGCACGGGUGAGUAACGCGUAUCCAACCUUCCCUUAGUAGGGCAUAGCCCGGCGAAAGUCGGAUUAAUACCCUAUGUUCUUCGUAGAGGACAUCUGAAAUGAAGCAAAGACUUGUCGCUAAGGGAUGGGGAUGCGUCUGAUUAGGUAGUCGGCGGGGUAACGGCCCACCGAGCCUGCGAUCAGUAGGGUUCUGAGAGGAAGGUCCCCCACAUUGGAACUGAGACACGGUCCAAACUCCUACGGGAGGCAGCAGUGAGGAAUAUUGGUCAAUGGGCGAGAGCCUGAACCAGCCAAGUAGCGUGCAGGAUGACGGCCCUAUGGGUUGUAAACUGCUUUUAUGCGGGGAUAAAGUGAGGGACGUGUCCCUUUUUGUAGGUACCGCAUGAAUAAGGACCGGCUAGUUCCGUGCCAGCAGCAGC